UAGGGAAUUUUCGUCAAUGGGGGGAACCCUGAACGAGCAAUGCCGCGUGUGUGAAGAAGGUCUUCGGAUCGUAAAGCACUGUUGUAAGUGAAGAAUGCCAUAUAGAGGAAAUGCUAUGUGGGUGACGGUAGCUUACCAGAAAGCCACGGCUAACUACGUGCCAGCAGCCGCGGUAAUACGUAGGUGGCAAGCGUUAUCCGGAAUCAUUGGGCGUAAAGGGUGCGUAGGUGGCACGAUAAGUCUGAAGUAAAAGGCAACAGCUCAACUGUUGUAUGCUUUGGAAACUGUCGAGCUAGAGUGCAGAAGAGGGCGAUGGAAUUCCAUGUGUAGCGGUAAAAUGCGUAGAUAUAUGGAGGAACACCAGUGGCGAAGGCGGUCGCCUGGUCUGCAACUGACACUGAGGCGCGAAAGCGUGGGGAGCAAACAGGAUUAGAUACC
rnacentral:rRNA from 1 species